UACGGGGGGAGCAAGCGUUGUUCGGAUUUACUGGGCGUAAAGGGCGCGUAGGCGGCGUGACAAGUCACUUGUGAAAUCUCCGGGCUUAACUCGGAGCGGUCAAGUGAUACUGUCGUGCUAGAGUGCGGAAGGGGCUACUGGAAUUCCUGGUGUAGCGGUGAAAUGCGUAGAUAUCAGGAGGAACACCGGUGGCGAAGGCGGCUCUCUGGACGGAUACUGACGCUGAGGCGCGAAAGCGUGGGGAUCAAACAGG
rnacentral:rRNA from 1 species